rnacentral:lncRNA from 1 species
GCGAUUCGAGAGCCCUUUCUGGCGCGGAGCUAGGGGCGGUGUUACGUAGCUGCCCUGAACUGAGAGCAGCGUUGGCCGGGGGCUAGGGAGCCGGGCUGUUCCACGCUCACUGUGCGCCUCGGGCGGCGGGGCUCGGGCUCUGUCCGAGGUGCUGAACUCCGGGGCUCCGGCCGCGCCGGCAGAGUGUGCCAGCGUCCAUUAUUGCCAGUGUCUGUGGGCAUCUUCCAGAAGGCCGAGCAUGGGGGUCAGGUGAAACCAGGGCGCCAUGAAUAUCAAUUAUUACAGAAAUGAAAAGGGAUCCUGCACCCAAAUUCAAAUCAAGCAAGUUCACCUAGAGGUUGCCGUGGGGUGGAGGGCCCAGAUCUGGGCUGUUUGGAUCUCUCUGCAGGAUGAAAGGGAUUUCCUGGACCUGGCUUUGCUGUCCCUUGCUCCUUUUGCCUGCACAGUGGCAGCAGCUGUGGCCAGAGGGACACCAGUGGACACAGAGGCCCAGGGAGAGGAGCAGAGGCCAGCAGGAAACAGCAAAUGCAGAGGCCCAAAGUGACCAGGACACCGUCCUUGUGCACAUCCUGGGAGGAGCCGACGUCUAAAGAAGGGCUGAAGCCUGAAAAUCUGGCAUGACUAGAGCUCAAAGUCAUGGCUGCUUGGGGCACUGUUAGAAAUGUGCCUCCUUGUGUUCUCCCAGUGAUGUGAUAAAGGUGGCAUCUCAC